GGCGAGAGGACCAACCAUGGAGAAUAGUAAGACACUUCAUUAUUUCUAUAACUACGCUAUAUUGUUUGUCCUCAUGUGUCUGUGCAUGUUUUUCAGUAUAAAGUACUCUGCAGCCACUUAGUGUGGACACCAGGUUAUAUCAGCUGUGUUGGUGAACCCCUCGCGCAUCUGAACUGGCUACACAGAGGGCACAGCAUGAUCAGAGGUAUAUUUUGAAGUAAACAGAGGAUGCCAACCCCCAGUCCCGUCAUCACCAUCUCACCCGAUCUUAAGAUAACCUGUGGGCCAACUGGGAGCCCAAGGCUGUUAGGAGACACCGCUAGAGACACUUAUGUAAUUGUGAUGAACUGAGAGAAUAUUAGGGUAGCACUGUAAUUCAUUAAUUAAAUGCUGCCUUCCCUGCUCCUGUGUUCUUACCUCUUUCCCUUUCCCCUCUAUACCCACCUCCUCUUUCUUCCUCUGUUUUUAUAAUGCUCAC